ensembl:snRNA U6 U6 spliceosomal RNA
GGGAUCACUUCAGCAGCACAUACACUAAAACUGGAAUGAUACAGAGAAAAUGAGCAUGACCCCUGCACAAAAACACACAAAUUUGUGAAGCAUUCCACAUUUUU